rnacentral:sRNA from 1 species
ACUGGGCACGGUGGCACAUGCCUGUAAUCCCAGUGGCCCAGGAGGCUGAGGCAGGAGGAUCGUGAGUUCAAAGGCAGCCUCAGCAACUUGGCAAGACCCUAAGCAAUUCAGUGAGACCCUGUCUCUA